AGUGAACCCCAACAACUAUAGAUAUGGAAAUAAUAGUCAUGAAAGUCUCAACCUUUACAAUAUGUUUAAGAUUCUCUGUUGAUUGUCUUUGGAUAUAUAUGAAGGAAUCUAUAAAAUAUGAAAAUGAAUAUUAUAAAUUAAAAUAUAUUUAAUGAGUAUGAAUAUAAAUAUCUGAAGAACUAAACUGAGGUUCACAUCUAUGUGGCUGUGUUUAUCAGUAUUCAAAUAAAUCUGGAAACAAAAUGUCUAUGAUAUCAAUGCCUGAAGAACUAAACAGAUGUUCAUCUCUAUGUGGCUUAUCAAUAUUCAAAUAAAUCUGAAACCAAAAUGUUUAUGGUGAUGAUGAUUGAAAAAUUGAUGAUGGUUGAUGGUUUACAUUUAGUGUGAAACAAUCCAUUGUUUAUCAAUCUUCAAAUAAAUCUAAA